CCUGUCCCUAGAGGACUUGAAUAGUUUUCAUUCUGGCCUCCUGUCUCAUGAGUGCAGUUUAUUUUGAUUGUCAUCUUCUCCUGGAUAUAAAGGAGAGAUUGAGAGUCUGAUACCUUUUGAAGUCUGAAAAGAAACUUUAUCAUCUAUUCUCUCUGAGGGAGACUUCAUCUACAUAACAAGACCACCUGCCUUGCCCAGCUUCUUCCUUUCUCUCUCUUAACUUUUCUUGGCAUUAAACAAUUUACCUGUUUCUGGCCAUGUUCUGAGUCUGCAUAGUUUAUUGGCCUCAGGAUGAUGUAAGUUUCUGUAAGUUACUGAGAAGUUG
rnacentral:lncRNA from 10 species